rnacentral:rRNA from 1 species
CCCUUAGAUGUUCUGGGCAGCACGCGCGCUACAAUGGUCUUCGCAAACGGAUGCAUUCUCGAAGGAGAAUGCCAAUCUUGGAAUCUAUGCCUUGGUCGGGACAGUUGCUUGCAAUUUUUCGACUCGAACCAGGAAUUCCUUGUAAUCGUGAUUCAUCACAUCACGAUGAAUACGUCCCUGCCCUUUGUACACACCGUCCGUCGCUCCUACCGAUCGAAGAGUUAGGUGAAUUGUUUUGAUCGAUAAGAUUUGACUAUGGUCAACUCUCGUUGUGAAAUUCUGUGAAUCUGACUGUUUAGAGGAAGGAAAAGUCGUAACA